AUAUAUACAAGGGCAUCUUUGUCAGUUCACAAGUUUGCCCCCCAUUCAUAAAUUUUUAUACAUUAUAGAUAGAUAUAGCUACUUUGACGUUUACUAAAAUAGACAAUAAUUCCUCCUAUAUUCCAAUUUGACAGGAGCUGAAACCAAUACAACACAAGUUACAGCCAACAUCAUUGUGUGACUAGAUCGAGGCAUGACUUGAGGCAAAUGGCUGUUCUGCACCAGAAUUAUCAGAGUUAGAAGUAGGGGUCUGCAGAUCUGGUCCUGGAUUUGGUUCAGAGUUUGCCUAAGAACCGGAACUGAACUGAAAUUUUGAUAUGGUUCUAGUUCAAUUAUUUGAUGCUUCGAUUCCAGUUCAA
rnacentral:misc_RNA from 1 species